rnacentral:rRNA from 1 species
CUGGAAGUAAAAGUUGUUACAAGGUCUCCGUAGGUGAACCUGCGGAGGGAUCAUUA